rnacentral:rRNA from 1 species
UACGUAGGUGGCGAGCGUUGUCCGGAUUUAUUGGGCGUAAAGCGCGCGCAGGCGGUUGUCUAAGUCUGCUGUGAAAUCUCCCGGCUCAACUGGGAGGGGGCGACGGAGACUGGGCGACUGGAGGGACCUAGAGGCCGGUGGAAUUCCCGGUGUAGUGGUGAAAUGCGUAGAGAUCGGGAGGAACACCUGUGGCGAAGGCGGCCGGCUGGGGGUACCCUGACGCUGAGGCGCGACAGCGUGGGGAGCGAACAGG